UGAGGGAGCCAGACUCUCUGCAGUACUACCCCCUGACAGGAUAAGAGGCAAUGGACACUAAUUAAACACAUGAAAUUCCACAAGAGAAUUACUGGGAGGGUUGUCAAACACAGGAGUAAGUUGCCAGAAGAGUCACGGAAUGUCUGCCUGUGGAGAUACCUGAAGCCCAAGUGCACAUGGUUCAGGACAGACUGCUCUGCCUGACCUGGCUUGAGCCAUUUGGGUAAAAUGAACUUGAGAGGUCCUUUCCAACGUCAAUAAUGAUGUGAUUCUCUAGAAUGUUGUUUGGUGGUCUGUGCCAAAUAGCAAUGCCAGGUUCCAUGCUGAAGGGGCAGUGAGUGUCUGUAGGAAGCAGCACGAUGGUGAAAGUGCAUUGUUUAAUGGCACAAAUGGGCUCAGGAAUUCAGGGUGUUGCUGGCACUCCUGGACUGCUCAAAGGAGUCAAACAUUUAUGGACAUGGCAAGUAGCUAUGUGGUGGAGCAUAAGGAACCAUCAAGUGAUCUGUCUCCUUGGAAUGGCUAACCUCUGUUGUGCUGCAGAAGAACGUACUCCAUGGAGCUACUCAGUGGAAGAACUUGCUUUUCUUUUGAUUGCCUCGAAAUGAAUUUUUAAUGUAAGGGAGAAGGAAAUGUGCUCAGUAUCAUGGAGCAGCUGCAGAAUGAGCCUGUGUUCGAAGAAGGGCAACAAACCUGGCUGGCAGCUGCUGACACCGAUGUGCUGUCGCAUGGGGAACACUUGGGCUGUACAGUGUUUGCUUCCAGUGCGUGCCCCUGUUGUCUCCUUGGAGUUGCUGCUUCAUCCUGAGCAAAACAUUACUGAGACACCAUUGAUGCUGCUCUGCAGGAUGUUCUCAGGACUCUGGCACACCAGGUGAGGCACCAGCCAGCUUUUCUGACAGCAAGGAGAAGUGUCUUGGAUGUUUCACUGCAGAAAGUACAGUGGGUUUUCUUUUUAAAUUUUUUUUCUCUGCCAGAUGCCCAAGGUGCAAAGCUGGGUCAAAGUUUGAUAAAUAGUAAUUUAAAACUCCCAAAACCAAAAAACCCCAACAAAACCAAAAAAACCCAAUGAAAAAGCAAAUAUUUGUUCCCUUUCCUCUUUUUGCCAAUGGCUAUUUCCUUGAUUGUAUUGAAUAUUGCUAGGCAUGUUGUUAGUGAAAAAAAUGUUGUCUUCAAAUAAUUUAAUCCUAGCCCAGAUGCCACUGCUCUGUUUAGAUUUGUCUAUUAAUAUUUCUGUGCAAUUCUUUAAUUAAAAUUCUGGGAUGUUUCCUCUUUCCUCUCUGAAAACAAUAUUUAGUAAGGACUGUAGAUUGUUUAGGUCUGUGGAACUGGUCGUUGUAAGCCAAGACACAGAGGGCUGAUUGGUGACCUUGUCUUGCUUUUGGCUGGAGCCUCUUCAGCUUGGUGUGACCAGGCCCAGCAGUUGCUUUCCUGUUUUGACAUUGGUGGUCACUUUGCUGCUUCACACAUGUAGACAAUAUUAUGUCCUUGACUUUUCCCACUCCUUGACAUAUAAAAACUCUCCUGAAAA